rnacentral:rRNA from 1 species
AACGAACGCUGGCGGCAUGCCUAACACAUGCAAGUCGAACGAGACCUUCGGGUCUAGUGGCGCACGGGUGCGUAACGCGUGGGAACCUGCCCUUAGGUUCGGAAUAACUCCCCGAAAGGGGUGCUAAUACCGGAUAAUGUCUUCGGACCAAAGAUUUAUCGCCUUUGGAUGGGCCCGCGUUGGAUUAGCUAGUUGGUAGGGUAAAAGCCUACCAAGGCGACGAUCCAUAGCUGGUCUGAGAGGAUGAUCAGCCACACUGGGACUGAGACACGGCCCAGACUCCUACGGGAGGCAGCAGUGGGGGAUAUUGGACAAUGGGCGGAAGCCUGAUCCAGCAAUGCCGCGUGAGUGAUGAAGGCCUUAGGGUUGUAAAGCUCUUUUACCCGGGAUGAUAAUGACAGUACCGGGAGAAUAAGCACCGGCUAACUCCGUG